CACGAAGCCGGAGUUGCUAGUAAUCGCGAAUCAGAAUGUCGCGGUGAAUGCGUUCCCGGGUCUUGUACACACCGCCCGUCACACCAUGGAAGUUGGGGGUGCCCAAAGCCGGCAAGCAAAUAUGCUGUCUAAGGCAAAACCAAUGACUGGGGUGAAGUCGUAACAAGGUACC
rnacentral:rRNA from 1 species